AAUCAACGCUGGCGGCGUGCCUAACACAUGCAAGUCGAACGCGAAAGCCCCUUCGGAGGUAAGUAGAGUGGCGUCCGGGUGAGUAACACGUAGGUAAUCUGCCUUCGGGUGGGGAAUAACCAGUCGAAAGAUUGGCUAAUACCGCAUAAUGCAGCGGCACCUAAUGGUGAUUAGUUGUUAAAGCGGGGGAGUCGUAAGACCUCGCGCCUGAAGAGGAGCCUGCGGCAGAUUAGCUAGNGGUGAGGUAAUGGCUCACCAAGGCUUCGAUCUGUAGCUGGUCUGAGAGGACGGCCAGCCACACUGGCACUGACACACGGGCCAGACUCCUACGGGAGGCAGCAGUGGGGAAUUUUGGGCAAUGGGCGAAAGCCUGACCCAGCAACGCCGCGUGAGGGGAGGAAAUCCUUCGGGAUGUAAACCUCACAAGCAAGGGAAGAGAGCUCAAGGCCGAAUAAGCUUUGAGUCCGACGGUACCUUGCGUAAGCC
rnacentral:rRNA from 1 species